rnacentral:lncRNA from 1 species
UCGGAUCGUCUUCUGAUCAAGUGAGUGUGUAGUUAUUUCUUCUAAUACAAUAAUACGAAGUAUUUUAUAUAAAAAUACGUGCUAUGUGUAUAUAUUUGGUUGUGUUAUGUGUGAAUGAGUAUUCACUCUCUUCUAUCUUAUAGAUCUGCUUAUUUCUUUAUGAGAUAUGUGUUAUGUGUGUGUGUGCCUCAUCUGUUAUGUGAUAUAUGUGUUGAUUAAAGCAUGCUAUACAGGUUUUCUUUAAACUAUGUAUACAAAUGUAUAUUUUUAUCUACUAAUAUGUUGGGUAGAACAUGGGUAGACAGUUGGUGUGUAAUAAACAGAUGAGAGGCCUCGUUGUUGUUUGAUUGAGUCAUCUAGCGGAGUUUAGAUGACGACCACUGGCUAUUCUAGACAGUCUUGUGGAAACAUUAGCAGGUUCGCCACCUGUAGGUGUUAAUGAACUUGGGUGUUCAUUCGCUGUACUCCAUCCCCCUCAUGGUUGCCUUAUUUGACUUAUAUUGCUGAGGUACCCCCGAAGCAUGUGUUGUCGCCCCGAUGAAAUAUUCUUAGACUAGGUCCCUUAUGUUAGUUGUUUUAGGGACAUUAAAGUGAGAAUAACGGGAAUGGGUAAUUGGGUUAUUGUUGGUUGGUGAAAAUUAAAUAUGAUAUUUAUUGUGGGUUGAAAACCCUAUAUGCUCACCAGGCUCCCAAGCCUGACCCACUCAGUUUUAAAUUGUAUUACAGGUAGUGGCGGAAGGGCAUGAGAUGGAUGAACCAUCAAGUUGUUUUGUUUACAAGUCUGCAUAUGUUUAUAUUUGUUAUAUGACUUGUAAUGUAUUCGUUUAUGCUUAUUGGUCUGUAUCGGAACAUGACACCCCGAGUUUUGAUUAUAAUGAAAAUACAUUUCUUUUAUGAAAUGCUUCGGUAAACAAUGUUUUAUCAUGUUUUGUUUUUGGGAACAAAUUCCGCAACUCUUUCAAAUCAAAAGGAUUUACUCUGAAAAUAUUUAAAAGCAUAAAUGAAAAUCGGUCUUUUCUGGCCGAGAUUUUGGGGAUGUCACAGUUGGUAUCAGAGCAUUAGUUUAAGCGAACUAGGAAUUUGUAGGAUUUCUAGACUUAAACUUAGAAUGCUAAGUGAAGUUUUGAGAUGUGUGUCUGUUGUGAUUUAGACACGAGCACUAGUUUAUUUUAGGAAAGUUGCCUAAAAUGCUUUAUGUGCUAAAUGUUAUAUGUUGCCAUAUAUGAUAUUAUUUGUUCGGAUCUAUGGUCUGUUGCCGACCGGAUCUAGAAACCUUAUGUGUGUAGGAUUCUAAGCGUACGUCUACGAUAUUAGAACUAGCAUGUAAACGUUUCGGAGUGAUAAGGAUGAUUUGAAUAUCUAUCAUGAUUGAGGAUCUAAUUUCACCUUAUUCGGUGUAGAUCAAAAUGGUGAGAACAAGAAGUGGAGUUGGAAAUGCUGACGAAAACAGGAAUCAACCACCAGUGAUUGAGCCAAUACCUGUCGUAGCAGCAGCACCUGAGCCAAUAACCAUGGCUGGUGUGCAAUUGAUGAUUCAGACGAUGUUGGAUCGUCAGAUGGAUGAAACUAGACGGUUGCUUCAACAAAAUCGUGAAGAACUGUCGAUUCGUGUGGAAGAGCCUGAACUGAAUGAAGGGCACUCGGAAGGUGGAAACUUCAGUGGGUCUGUUGGUCCAGCCAACCCACCGAUAGUUAGGCAAGAUAACCAUGAUGGAAGGAAUGAUGGAAUGGGAUGCAAGUACAAGGACUUUUUGACUUGUAAACCAUCGACCUUCAAUGGAAAGGAGGAUCCGAUUGGGGUUAUGGAUUGGAUCUCCGAAAUGGAGUUAGCCUUUAUGACAUGUGGCUGUAGAGGCAAGUUGCAGACUAUCUAUGCCGUGCGACAAUUCCGAGGUGGAGCCGUUCGUUGGUGGAACACUCUAGGGAAGACCUUAAGCCCUAAUGAGCCACUGCAAUUGUCAUGGGCAGAGUUCUUGGUGCAGUUCAAGCGCAAGUUCUGCUCGGCUCAAAAUCUGUUGGAGUUGGAGAACAAGUUUUUGACAUUGACGAAGGGUAGCAUGUCAGUGGAUGAGUACACCAAUAACUUCACCGAUAAGAUGGAGUUUGCCUUGCGUAUCGUUCCAGACGAGCUGACAAAGGUGGAUCGGUAUGCGAAGGGACUUCCAUGGGAGUACGAGGUGCCGGUACGUCAGGCACUUACUCUAGAGGCAGCUAUCUGGGCUGCCAAGUCUGUGGAGAACAUGAUCAAGGGGAGAACCACCGUCAAGGUUGAGGUUGGUGAGAAAAGGAAGUUUGAAGGAACAUCUGGUUCCAGUAAGAAGAGCAAAUUUUCGAAAUCUGAUUCGAAAAAGUUUGGAGGAAAAGGAGGCGAAGCAAAGUGGUGUGAUAAGUGUAAGAAAAAGCACUUUGGGAAAUGUAGCGAGGAUGUGACCUGCUACAAGUGUGGAAAGGUUGGACAUUUUGCCAAUGAAUGUCCGAACAACAAAAGGAUGUGUUUUGGGUGUAAUGAAGAGGGGCAUAUUUUGAAAGACUGUCCGAAGAAGAAGGAGGCAGCUAGGCCCAACAUUCCACCAAAGCCGAAGGCGAGAGCCUUCCAGAUGACACUUGAGGCUGCGAAAGAUGAAGCUGAUGUCGCUUCAGGUACCUUUCUCGUAAACGAAUUACCUGCUCAUAUAUUGUUUGAUUCUGGAGCCAACUACUCCUUUAUUUCGCAUGAGUUUGGUAGAAAGCUAGCUUUGCCUGUUGAUAGACUAGAUAAUGCUUUAUUAGUCGAAGUAGCUAGUGGCAAGUUUGUACCUGUUAGCCAUCGUAUGAAAAACGUCUUGAUCGACCUUAAUGGGAAUAAGUUUCUCGAGGAAUUAUUGCCUAUCGAACUAAAUGGUUUCGACAUCGUCUUGGGAAUGGAUUGGCUUAGCGCCAAUGAUGCCGAAAUUUUGUGCAAGAAGAAGAUAGUUAAAGUAAACCCGCCUGGGAAAGAUUCGUUUAUGGUGUAUGGGGACAAACGCAGAGUGAAUUCUGGAAUCAUUUCUCUAAUGAAAGCCAGAAAGUGUUUGACCAAGGGAUGUACAUCAUAUUUAGCAUUCGUGAUUGAUGCUAAGAAAGAAAAGAAGGUGAUGCAGAGCAUUCCAGUGGUGUGUGAUUAUCCGGAAGUAUUUCCCGAGGAUCUUCCUGGAUUACCACCUGAUAGACAAGUGGAGUUCAGAAUAGACUUGUUACCAGGAACCACGCCAAUAGCAAAAGCACCUUAUCGAUUAGCACCGACGGAGAUGAAGGAGCUGAUGAUGCAACUUCAGGAGUUAUUGGACAAAGGUUUCAUUAGACCUAGUUCAUCGCCCUGGGGAGCUCCGGUGUUAUUUGUAAAGAAGAAAGAUGGAAGUAUGAGAAUGUGCAUCGAUUACAGAGAGCUGAACAAGGCAACAAUAAAGAAUAGAUAUCCGUUGCCGAGGAUUGAUGACCUGUUUGAUCAAUUGCAAGGUUCGAGCUAUUUCUCGAAGAUCGAUCUUAGGUCAGGAUAUCAUCAGCUGAAAGUAAGAGAGCAAGAUAUCGAGAAGACUGCAUUCAGAACUAGAUAUGGACACUACGAGUUCUUGGUUAUGUCGUUUGGACUAACCAAUGCUCCAGCAGCGUUCAUGGAUUUGAUGAAUAGGGUUUGUAAUCCUUUCCUUGAUAAAUCCGUGAUAGUGUUCAUAGACGACAUUCUGAUCUACUCGAAAAGCCAGGAGGAGCAUGGCAGACACUUGCGAGAAGUGUUAGAAGUUUUGAAGAAGGAGAAGCUUUAUGCGAAGUUCUCCAAAUGUGAUUUUUGGAUUCGUGAGGUCCAAUUCUUGGGUCACGUGGUCAACCAAGAAGGGAUAAUGGUUGAUCCAGCGAAGAUCGAAGCUGUGACGAAGUGGGAACAACCGAAAAGUCCCACGGAGAUUCGAAGCUUUUUAGGAUUAGCCGGAUAUUACCGAAGGUUUAUCCAAGGCUUUUCUUCGAUUGCUACUCCAUUAACAGCUUUGACCCACAAAGGAGCUACUUAUGCUUGGAGUGAGAAGCAUAAAGAAGCAUUCGAGAAGUUAAAGAAGAAGCUAUGCGAGGCACCGAUACUUUCUCUACCCGAUGGAGUUGAAGACUUCGCUGUUUAUAGCGAUGCGUCUGGUGUUGGAUUGGGUUGUGUUUUGACCCAAAGAGAAAAGGUGAUAGCAUAUGCGUCUCGACAGCUGAAAGAGCAUGAAAAGAAUUACCCGACUCAUGAUUUGGAGUUGGCAGCGGUAGUUUUCGCUCUGAAAAUAUGGAGGCAUUACCUCUAUGGCACGAAGUGCAAACUUUUCACUGAUCAUAAGAGUCUCCAAUACCUCUUUAAUCAGAAAGAAUUGAAUAUGAGGCAACGACGCUGGCUAGAAUUACUUAAAGACUACGACUGCGAGAUACUUUACCACCCCGGUAAAGCUAAUGUUGUUGCUGAUGCUCUCAGUCGGAAAGUCAAUCUUGAAAGGAAGAGGCCAAGAGCGUUGAGAAUUGAAGUUGUCUCGACUAUUGUGGAAAGUAUAAAGAAAGCUCAAGAGGAAGCUUCUGAGAAAAAUGACCGAAAGGAGGAACGUUUGGGUAAAACGUUGGUGUUUGGUACUAACGGUCAUGGACUGAAGGUAUUCCAAGAUCGUAUUUGGGUACCUAAGUCAGGAGGAAUUAGGGAUCUUCUGAUGGAAGAAGCUCACAAAACCAUGUACUCAAUUCAUCCGGGUAGCACUAAAAUGUAUAGGGACCUGAAACCCUACUACUGGUGGCCGACGAUGAAGCUUGAUGUUGCAAAGUAUGUGGCCGAGUGUGUGACUUGUGCGAGAGUCAAGACACAACAUCAGAAACCUUACGGGAGUUUAGAACCAUUGCCUGUGCCUAUGGGUAAGUGGGAAGACAUUGCUAUGGAUUUUGUCACUAAACUGCCCAGAACAAAGAAUGGUCACGACAUGAUUUGGGUGGUCGUUGAUCGAUUCACUAAGAGUGCGCAUUUCAUAGCGGCCAGGGAGAAAUGGUCUAUGGAAAAGCUUGCGAAUUCUUACGUGAAGGAAAUUGUGAGGCUUCACGGUGUUCCGUUAACGAUUGUAUCGGAUCGUGAUAGCCGUUUCACCUCAAGGUUUUGGAAAAGUCUACAAGAGGAAAUGGGUACCAAGUUAUGUUUAAGCACAGCUUACCAUCCGCAGACUGAUGGUCAGAGUGAAAGAACAAUACAAACACUUGAAGAUAUGCUGAGAGCAUGUACCUUGGAAUUCCUAGGUAAUUGGGAUGAACAUUUACCGUUGGUAGAAUUUUCCUAUAAUAAUAGUUUUCACUCGAGCAUUAAGAUGGCACCUUAUCAAGCUUUGUAUGGACAGAAGUGUCGUACGCCGUCUUGUUGGCUUGAGGCUGGGGAAAAGCAGUUUAUGGGACCGGAGAUGGUUCAUCAAACUGCUGAAAAGUUGAAAAUAAUUAGGGAAAGAAUGUUAGCAGCUCAAGAUCGUCAAAAGAGCUAUGCUGACAAGAAGCGAAGACCGAUGACUUUUGAGGUUGGAGAUUCGGUUUUGCUUAAAGUCUCGCCGUGGAAGGGACUUAUAAGAUUUGGUAAAAGGGGAAAGUUGAGUCCAAGGUUUAUUGGACCGUUUAAAGUCCUUCAGAGGAUUGGGAAUCAAGCUUACAAGCUCGAAUUACCCGAAGAACUGAAUGGAAUUCACAACACCUUUCAUGUGUGUUAUUUGAGGAAGUUCACGGGAGAAGUUCCCGAUAUAAUUCCAAUUUCUGAAUUGAGAAUUGAUGAGAACAAAAGGUUGAUUGAAGAACCAGAGGCAAUUGUUGACCGAAAGACUAAGAAGUUGCGACGCAAAAUGGUUGGGUUAGUGCUUGUCCGAUGGAAACACACGAAUGGGCCGAAUCUCACCUGGGAGACGGAGAGUGACAUGUUGAGUCGCUAUCCGCAUUUGUUUGUUGAUGUGUGAUUCCGGGGACGGAAUCAUUCUAAGGUGGAGAGAAUUGUAACGCCUGUGUUUCCGGGCUUGCCAUUUUUAGCAAUGUAAUAGUCUAGGUUAACCUUUGUAACCCGUUUUGAAAUAAUAAGAUUGUAUUAUUUGAGUAUUAUGUGUUUUGUGCUUAAUUGCUUAAUUAUGUGGUUUGAUUAAUUAAGAAUAAAAAUAAGCGUCAAAAUUUAAGUGUAAAAUAAACUUAAUAUCUUUGGUUAAUGUUGUAGUAGUUGAAACGAGGUUUCCGAAUAUAUAUAGAACGCCCAAAUCUGACUUCGUAUGAGGAAGUUAUGAUUUAUCGAAGUUCCGGCUUAGCGAUAUACAGCCUGUUUUACUCGAUUUGAGAUCGAGCGGUUGUUAGCCGAAGCAAUCUAAAUGAGAAUCGAAGAUCUCAUUGUUGGUAUUGAAACGAUAAAAAGUUAGGCGAGAACGGACGUCAAACGAAGAAGUUAUGAAUUUAUAACGAAAGUUUCUGUCCCGGCCUAUUAAAAAUAAUUAAUAAAAAUAAAGUCAAAAUUAGCCGACGGAGUCUAAACGAAAGUCGUAGAGCGUGGUCUCACCUUCGCGUGGAUAUAAAGAACGUCGAAAACGGAGUUCGUAUGAAGAAGUUAUGAAUUUCCGAAGUUUAUUAAUCAUUUUGUAUUUAUUUUUAAUUCAAAAUUCGGAAGCAUUAUCCGAAGGAGUCACCGAUCUGAUCCGAGGUACGCCCCGCGUACUCGAGUACGCCCCGCGUACUCCGAGGGAUGUCGACACUCGCACUCGAGCACUUCGGAUACGUAAGCAAUGACGUUUUGGGCAGUACGCCCCGCGUAACGCAGUACGCCCCGCGUACUCCGAGGCUCCAGCCUCCUAUAAAUAGGAUGCGAGGGUUCCGGGUAUUUUUGCCAAUUCCCUCUCGUUUUCGUGUCGAAGCUCUGUGCAAAAACCCCCGAAGCUACCCCGAAGUCCCGGUAUCAUACUCUAGCCCCGAGGCAAGUCCCGAGAUCCUGAAGAUCCCGAAAAGUGCGGUUCCCGAGUCGAAGCUCUGCCCGCGAGAAGUUCGAUUUUCGAGAAGAUCUUCCAGAUCUGCUGUGGAUUACUACUUCUAUAAGCCGUAGUGCUGUCCGAUCAUCUUCUGAUCAAGUGAGUGUGUAGUUAUUUCUUCUAAUACAAUAAUACGAAGUAUUUUAUAUAAAAAUACGUGCUAUGUGUAUAUAUUUGGUUGUGUUAUGUGUGAAUGAGUAUUCACUCUCUUCUAUCUUAUAGAUCUGCUUAUUUCUUUAUGAGAUAUGUGUUAUGUGUGUGUGUGCCUCAUCUGUUAUGUGAUAUAUGUGUUGAUUAAAGCAUGCUAUACAGGUUUUCUUUAAACUAUGUAUACAAAUGUAUAUUUUUAUCUACUAAUAUGUUGGGUAGAACAUGGGUAGAUAGUUGGUGUGUAAUAAACAGAUGAGAGGCCUCGAUGUUGUUGUUGUUGUUGAUCUAGUUAUUCAGCGGAGUAUGGAUAACGACCACGGACUCUUUCUAGACAGUCCAGUGGAACACUAGCAGGUUCAUAACCUGUAGGUGUUGUGAACGAUGUGUUCACCGGUGUACUCUAUCCCCCUCAUGGUUGCCUUUAGGAUAUCUAUUGUUGAGGAAACCCCUUCGCAGUGAUGUCCGUCCCGAUGAAAAUCCUAGAUUAGGUCCCUUGAGAUAGUUGUUUUAGGGACGUAAAGUGAGGAUAACGGGAAUGGGUAAUCGGGAUAGUGAUUGGUUGGUGAAAUUAAAUAUAACUUAUUUAUUGUGGGUUGAAAACCCUAUAUGCUCACCAGGCUCCCAAGCCUGACCCACUCAGUUUUAUUUGUAUUACAGGAAGUGGCACAAGGGCGUAAGAUGGAUGGAUCAUCUUGUUGUUUUGUUUACAAGUCUGUAUAUGUAUAUAUUUGUUGAAUGACUUGUAAUGUUUAUCGUUUAUGCUUUAUGGUCUGUAUCGGAACAUGACAUCCCGAGUUUUGAUUAUAUAAUGAAAUGCAUCUCUUGAUGAAAUGCUUUGAUAAAUAUUAUUUUAUCAUGUUUUGUUUUGGGAACAAAUUCCGCAACUCUUUCAAAUAAAAAGGAUUUACUCUGAAAAUAUUUAAAAGCAUAAAUGAAAAUCGGUCUUUUCUGGCCGAGAUUUUGGGGAUGUCACAUCAGGAAAUACGGUAUGUGGGAUUGAUGCCAUUGAAACGAAUGACCAAUAAAAUGAAAGUGAUUCGAGAA